rnacentral:rRNA from 1 species
GGCGGCGUGCCUAACACAUGCAAGUCGUACGAGAAAGCCGGCUUCGGCUGGUGAGUAAAGUGGCGCACGGGUGAGUAACGCGUGGAUAAUCUGCCCUUAAGUGUGGAAUAACGUACCGAAAGGUGCGCUAAUACCGCAUAAUGCCUGGCAACACAAGUUGUCCGGCCAAAGAAGGCCUCUGUUUACAAGCUUUCGCUUCAGGAUGAGUCCGCGUACCAUUAGCUUGUUGGUAGGGUAAUGGCCUACCAAGGCGACGAUGGUUAGCUGGUCUGAGAGGAUGAUCAGCCACACUGGAACUGAGACACGGUCCAGACUCCUACGGGAGGCAGCAGUGAGGAAUAUUGCGCAAUGGGGGCAACCCUGACGCAGCAACGCCGCGUGAGUGAGGAAGGUUUUCGGACCGUAAAGCUCUGUCGAGCGGGAAGAAAUGCAUGGUGGCUAAUAUCCAUCAUGCUUGACGGUACCGCUAAAGGAAGCACCGGCUAACUCCGUG